CAAUUUCCAAAUUGCUUUCGACAGUUGUUCAUGAAUUAGAUUAAAGGCGAGCUCGAAUGUUGUCUAAAGUUACAUGCGGUUCAAACGUAAAGCAUACUUUAUUUCAAUGAGGAGAAAAACAAACAUAACUUUGAUAUCCAUUUUUUCCGAUGAAAAUAAUGGAGAAGAUAAUGGCAGAUUUGGAAAACAAUACAAUGAAGAAAAAGAAUGAAAAAGAAAAAUCAAUUUAAGAAUAGAUUUGAUUGAAAAUUCCGACCACCAUUGAAGGAACUUUUGAGGAAAUGAUGGAAGCUUGUUUCAUAUUUCAAUAAAGAAGAUAUGCCCUGAGGAGGAUGAGGUGUGGUUGUUUCCGUGGAAACAAAAAGAAGGGGUGUGUUGGGGAAGAAGAUCUGGAAGGGCGAGGGGAGGGGGCGUUAAAAGAUUUUAAAAUAAUUUUUUCGUUAACAAAAAUUGAAAAUGCCACAUGUAAUUAUUGUAGUUGUUGCUUGCCAGUGAGAGAGCUCUUUAUUUGUUCUCCUCGUUGUCAAAAAAUGGUCAAAGCACUACUUGAAAUGUUUAAAAUGAG
rnacentral:lncRNA from 1 species